rnacentral:rRNA from 1 species
ACAUGCCUACAACAUAGCGUUAAUGCAUUGGAUCCCAUUAGAAAUCUACAGUUAAGCGCACUCGGGCUAGAGUAGUAUUGGGAUGGGUGAUUGCCCAAGAAGUCCUAGUAUUUUACAUGGC